AGAUAAUGAGAAAAGAGAGGGAGGAACAAGCUAUCAGCUACAGACUCUUUUGCAGUGUAUGAGAGAAAAGUAGCAGAUUAUGUGCAAUGCAUGUAGAGAAGUUAAAGUGCCUGCUAGAUUAAUUAUUAAGGCCAAAAAGACAUUGCCUUCCCAGUCUUUGAAGAAGGUGCUUGGGUAAGGAGACGAGAAAAGAGCUGGGCUCUCACAGGCACCGUGUCACACUCUAGGGAGGAGCCACAGAUCACAGUGUGAGGCAGGGGUGAUUCACAGAAGGCUACCUACAAAAGGGUUAUCAGGUCUGACAACCUCUUUGCAGUAGUUCAGCAUGUUAGCACACUGCAAUAAUAAUUAUUAUUUAUUGAGAGCCUAUUCAUCAACCAAUGCCUCAGGUGCCUCUUGUGAUUAGAAUAUAAAACAGAUUGGGUUGCUGCAUGCAGUAAAAACAUUUUUAAUCUGUUUCUUUCAGAGCUACUAUGUGACAUCAAAGUCAAUUAAGGUUAGGUGAGAGAGAGUUCCUGGAAGCUGAGGCUGUAGGAGUAACACAUACAGACAAUAUAUUCCUCCAAAUACUACCAGUUUAAGGGCUGUACCUGCACUUGCUAAGAUGGAAUAGCAUGAAAAGAGUUUGAAGAUUGGAAGCGUAUCUUAGUGCCUAUUCAUUAAAUUCCUGAGAUGUGAGAAGCAACUUCUUAAACUCUACUUUUAUGAACAUCAAGUCUGUGACAGAUGUCUGACGGCACUCCUGGAUCAGCAGCUCUUGCUACAUUUCUCUGCAAGUACAAAACUUCAACUAAUGGGCAUUAGCAACUCAUGGACAGACUCCACCUCACGUGCUUUUGGUGCCGAAGAGGAGUGAUCAAUGCAACAGUGCUGAUGUGAAUAAAGCAUGGCCCCUAAUCUGCA
rnacentral:lncRNA from 1 species